ACUGGGAGCUGCGCCCAGGUUCUGGGGCUUUGCUGGCCCUGGCUGAUGCUGCAACUUACGAUAUUCUCACAUCUCAUGGAUUUCCAGCCCUUUUUAUUGCCCUUCCUGCAUUUUAUCUUGCAUCCCAGAAAUAUCAGUGGGUUGCUAUCUCUGCAGAGGAAGGGACUGAAACAAAAGUGCUGCAGCUGCUGCAGUCCAUAGCAUCUGCCUGAUGUCACCAUUAGAGCUAAGACAUCAGGUAAGGCACCAAAGGUGGUGGGAUGCAGAUGAGAUCUUCAUGCUCAGGAGUGAUGAGACACUUCAGGAGGAAGGAUCUGAAGAACAGGAUUUCACAGAUGGUGGUGGUGGUUGUUGCUGUUAUUUUAGUCUCCAGGACUAGCCUAAUGGCUUUCCUAGGGGAUCUGCAUUAUCUUCUACCUUCUCCUGGAAACAGUUACAUUGUUUGGAGCCUCUACAGGUAACAGAAUUGGCACCACAUCCAGCCGAAAAUGUGGAUAUUUUUAUGCUAACGUGUCUUUAGGUCAUUCUAGCUUGAAACACAAAUGGUGUACGAGCAUCAAAUUUCACUAAGCACUGGCAUAGUCUCUGAUAUAGAACAGUGACUACAUUAAAAUCUCAGAGAAACAUGUAAUUUUUUCUGUGCUGUGGUUCCACAAAAGGGCUGAAUACAGGUUAAGUUCAAUAAUACAAGAUUUAAAAAGUGUUUUUGUUUGAUUUAUGCAAUCCCCUAUGUGGAUGAUUCUUUUAAUCGCUUUCAUAGCUGUUGAGCUGUGUAAUAAUACAUGCUUCUUGACUUCACAGGUGUGCUUUCUCCCAAA